GUAAGUGAGGGUGAUCCGGUUGCAACACCUGUCACCCUAUUGGUCAAAGGGUUGAUUCAGCUGAUCUGGAUGGCCAGGAAGGUAUCUCCUUCCUCCCUCACCACUCCAUGUACAUCCCUCCCGAAGCUGUGCACUUGGUCGAAGAGGACCUUCUUUGAUAGAGGAAGACUGUUCAUUGGUCAAGGGUAUACCAGUAGCUGUGCUCCCCUACUAGACCCUCCAAACAAGCUCUCAAAGCAGAACUAAGUCUAUAUUUUCUAAAGUGCAUACACCGGAGUUUGGGAAUGAUGAAAGAUAACCAUUUAAGUAAUGUAGAAUAAUAAAUAGCUUCAAUACUACUU
ensembl:misc_RNA 7SK 7SK RNA